UACGGAGGAUGCGAGCGUUAUCCGGAUUUAUUGGGUUUAAAGGGUGCGUAGGCGGGCAUUUAAGCCGGCGGUCAAAUGUCGGGGCACAACCCCGGCCUGCCGUCGGAACUGGGUGCCUUGAGUGGGCGAGAAGUAUGCGGAAUGCGUGGUGUAGCGGUGAAAUGCAUAGAUAUCACGCAGAACCCCGAUUGCGAAGGCAGCAUACCGGCGCCCUACUGACGCUGAGGCACGAAAGUGCGGGUAUCGAACAGG
rnacentral:rRNA from 1 species